rnacentral:rRNA from 1 species
AUUGAACGCUGGCGGCAUGCUUUACACAUGCAAGUCGAACGGUAACAGGGUGCUUGCACCGCUGACGAGUGGCGAACGGGUGAGUAAUGCGUCGGAACGUGCCGAGUAGUGGGGGAUAACGCAGCGAAAGUUGUGCUAAUACCGCAUACGUACUGAGGUAGAAAGUGGGGGACCUUCGGGCCUCACGCUAUUCGAGCGGCCGACGUCUGAUUAGCUAGUAGGUGAGGUAAAGGCUCACCUAGGCGACGAUCAGUAGCGGGUCUGAGAGGAUGCUCCGCCACACGGGGACUGAGACACGGCCCAGAAUCCUACGGGAGGCAGCAGGGGGGAAUUUUGGACAAUGGGCGAAAGCCUGAUCCAGCCAUGCCGCGUGUCUGAAGAAGGCCUUCGGGUUGUAAAGGACUUUUGUCAGGGAGGAAAUCCCUAGUGCUAAUAACACUGGGGGAUGACAGUACCUGAAGAAUAAGCACCGGCUAACUACGUGCCAGCCGCCGCCGUAA